rnacentral:rRNA from 1 species
CACACUGUAAACGAUGAAUGCUAGGUGUAGGAGGUAUCGACCCCUUCUGUGCCGUAGUCAACACACUAAGCAUUCCGCCUGGGGAGUACGGUCGCAAGAUUAAAACUCAAAGGAAUUGACGGGGGCCCGCACAAGCAGCGGAGCAUGUGGUUUAAUUCGAAGCAACGCGAAGAACCUUACCAGGUCUUGACAUCCGAUUAAAGCUCAUGAAAGUGAGUGUCCCUUCGGGGGAAUCGAGACAGGUGG